UCGAGUUUGAAACGGGUUGUAGCUGGUCUCAAUACGGGACAUGUGCACGCCUGACUCAUCCACUCUCAAACCCCUGUGCACUUAUUGUAGGUCGGUGGAAAGACUUGGUUUUUUAUUAAGUCAAGUUUGGAAGCCUUCCUAUGUUUUUACUACAAACGCUUCAGUUAUAGAAUGUCAUACGCGUAUAACGCAUUUAUAUACAACUUUCAGCAACGGAUCUCUUGGCUCUCGCAUCGAUGAAGAACGCAGCGAAAUGCGAUAAGUAAUGUGAAUUGCAGAAUUCAGUGAAUCAUCGAAUCUUUGAACGCACCUUGCGCUCCCUGGUAUUCCGGGGAGCAUGCCUGUUUGAGUAUCAUGGAAUUCUCAACCUUCAAUACUUUUUUCUAAAAGGUGUUGUAAGGCUUGGACUUGGAGGCUUUGUGCUGGUUCUGUUUUAUUACGGAGUCGGCUCCUCUGAAAUGUAUUAGCGUGAAUCACUAUGGAUCGCUUCGGUGUGAUAAUUAUCUGCGCCGUGGUCGUGAAGUAUUAAUUCAAGUUCGCGCUUCUAAUCGUCCUUCACGGGACAAAUUACAUUGAAC
rnacentral:rRNA from 1 species